CUGAAACCCGUGCUCGUCAUCAGGGCAAUCGUUAAUCAAGAUACCCUGCGAGGUUCACUGACUUCCCAAACGCUCUGCAGGGCGACCAGCUCAGCAGCAGAGGAUCCGAAGAGCGUUUUUUGGAGUGCCCAUAAUGUCUUUCACCAGCCAGGAGUGCACCACAGGGAGAGGACGUUGGCCUCUCUCAAAUCCUCAGGUAUAUUAAGUAGAAGAUAUGGCAUAGAAGUGAGUGACCCAGGGUCAGUUGCCACUCAAUGCCCAGAAGAGCCAGUAUGAUGGGAAUCAGCACAUUCACCUAAUAUGCUAACUACAUUCCAGCCCUUCCAGAACACAAGAAUCUCCAAUCCUGAGUCUUCUGUGAAAAAGGUGGGAAAGAAAAACAUCUAAGAUGUACAAUUCUCCAGUUAUUAAUGCAUUCAAGCAACAUUCCCAGUUCUGUGCAGACAAGCGUCAAGAAAAGCCAGUGAAGGAAAGGAACUAAGAGGAGAAUCAGGAAUCAAUGCAGAAUUUCCAAUUUCUGUGAAAAAUGACAAUUUCCCUUUACGCAAGAA